GCAUCUGAAGCUUCUUUUUCUUUUCUUUUCUUUUCUUUUCUUUUCUUUGCUCCUGAUUCUCUUAAAUAUAGGGCUUCAGUAUUAGAGAUGGAAAAAAAAAAAGUUUUAAGAGUUGGUUUAGUGUUGUGAAGAAUCUAAGACAGUUGUUUCAGUGCACCAAUUUCAUUGAUAGGUUGGGCUAGAGUUUGUAUCUGUGUUCUCUCUCUUGAAAACAAGAUUUUGUUCUUUUGCUUGUUUUAUUUAAUCAUACCCUUAAUUUUUGGGUACCAAGUUUUGCUUUUUUAGGUGCCUUUGCACUCAGGACACUUUGAUUAAGACGCAUGUGACAACUGUAAGGAAAAAUUGGAAGAGUGUGUAAGCUUUGAAGGCAGCCCUGCGUCUUCCCUUCUGAUAAUACCAGGGCUGCUGUUUGUUAGUCGUACAAGCAUCUUCCCAAAUGAAGUAACUAUUUUGAGUAGUAAAUUUUGACACGUACAACUCAAAUUUGACAUGAAAGUUGCAGGUUUUCAGGUUGAUCAUGGUCGAUCAAACUGAAAUGUAACCAUCUGUUAAUAGAAACCACAAAGUACUCUUGAGUUAGAGUCAUGCAUGCAUACGCAAUUAAGUUUGUAUUGAUUACUAUUAUGAAUACAAUGUUGGAUUAAGUGUUUAUAUAUCAACACUAUUAUGGUCUAAACUGAGAAGUAUCUUGUGAUUUAGGACUCUAGGAAUGAGAGCUAUAACUGUCGUAUUAAGCUCCUGGAAACAUACAAUUCCCAGAAAGAAUUCCAAGGCUGUACUAGGUGACCUUGCCAUUAAAAAUUUCCCGGAACCUGAAACCAUCUGGACCUGGUGAUUUAAGGGACCACAUUUGAAAAGCUUCUUCCUUGAUCUCUGAACAGAAAUGUUAGAUCCCUGUUCAUCUCUUCAGUUCCCAUUUGGAAUAAUACCACUAAUAGUAAGUAUACCACUUAUAGUAAGAACUAAGAAAAUUUCUUGUAUUGGCUAUCAAAUUCCAGUAGGAUCAAUCUUCACCGCAAACCCAGUUGCCAUUGUCACCUGCAAUAUUGAAAAUUCUAUUUCUAUAUGCAGUGAAUAAUGGUGAGGUGGGAAGGUAUGACCAGCAUUGAGCCAGCGGUCUCAGAUCUCUGGUGCCAAAAAAUUUCCUCCAGGCUCCUGUAGAACAAUUUGGCCAUGAAAAGUUCUGUCCUUUAGACCUGGGAUUGGAAAGCUUGUUGAAGGACUAUGACAUCAAUGGUGAUUAGUAUAUUUAGCAUCUACUUCUUUCUAACUGUCAAAGAAGUUCAUGAAAGUCCCCAAUACAUAACCAAGAAAUACCAUCACUCCAAUUACUUCCAAAAAAAAAACUCUAACCGUUGGUAACCCAAUACAUCAACUUCGUGUAAUAGCAGAGGCAGCAAUUUUUCUAUAUCAUUGACAAUCUCCACUUUUACAUCUGGACACCACCAAAGGCAAGCCAGCCUCUAGACACAAUGGUUCAAUGUUGAACCGAUUGUAAUAGCUGAACUGCAUCAACUAAAUUUUAGGCAGCUUUUGUUGGUUUGAGGAUUGGGAGAGUAUGUGCAUGACUGUGUGGCCAAGUCCUUUGUCUUACUCCUAGGAUGUUGAAAAUUUGAACUACAUUGGGUAAACUCAUUUUUAAGUGGGGCUGUUUUUUUGUGUGGUGAGUACUGGGUUACGGAUAAAUGCAAAGCCGGAAAACAAUGGUGCUCUUCUAUGGUUCUAGGAAGUUGGAACUUAUUUGAAUCAUUUCAUAUCAUUGGAUGCUAUUUAGUUAUAUACUUGUAUAGUAGGACAAUGUUAUUGUGUUGAGUGAAAAAGAAACAGGAAAAAGAAGGAUGUGAUGGAGAUUGUUGGUUAUAGUUGAAAAUGGUGGGAGUGGUCAUGGGAUUCUGGAUUGUAUGAGAGAAAAAUAAAGAUGAAUGUCAUAAACUCAUGGUUCACUGUGUUUAGAGAUUGGGUAUUAUUGAAACUGGAGUUUGCAAGUGGUUCAAUGUGUUUAGAGAUUGUUGUCACGGUGGUCGUGGAAGUGAUGACACUGGUGUCGAUGGUGAGACUGCUUGUACCACAGUGUGUUUAAGUAUGAACUAUAGGAGUUUCAUGUGGCUUGUAGUUGUUCCAGAUGUGCUAAUUGAUGAGAGUGAGUGACACUGAGUUGAGCUUCAAGUUUGUGCACUCAGGUUCUCAUAGUCUUGGACCUGGAUGGGAUAAUUGGCUAUGCCAGUCUGGCGAGACAGAAAGCUACGCGUAGCCAGGGCUUAUGUGAUUUUGCUUGCAUUUGUCAAGCACAUCCAAGAAGAAGGCUCCUAAUGCCAUGAAGGGAGAUUAAAAAGUUCUCCCAGAUAGCCACGGGGACGGACGGCAUUAGUGGAUGUGAAGCUGAACAAGCAACAUCUGGAGAACAAUGAUGAAGCUAUACUCUUUUGUUCCGAGUGUUGUGAGAACAAAAGACUUUGUAUUGUUGUUUUGGUAUUUUGGUGUAUUUUGUUUGCCUAAAGAUUCAGCAUCAGUAAUGUACUUAUGGUUUUAAAUGAUGUGGUCUUUUGGCCUCGUAA